rnacentral:rRNA from 1 species
UAGUCGGUGUUAAUAUACGACCCGACUAGCAGCUUCCGGGAAACCAAAGUUUUUCGUUUCCGGGGGAAGUAUGGUUGCAAAGCUGAAACUUAAAGGAAUUGACGGAAGGGCACCACCAGGAGUGGAGCCUGCGGCUUAAUUUGACUCAACACGGGAAAACUCACCCGGCCCGGACACCGUAAGGAUUGACAGACUGAGAGCUCUUUCUUAAUUCGGUGGGUGGUGGUGCAUGGCCGUUCUUAGUUGGUGGAGCGAUUUGUCUGGUUAAUUCCGAUAACGAACGAGACUCUGGCCUAUUAAAUAGUCGGUAUAUCCGGAAAAGUUUACCGUACUUCUUAGAGGGACAAACGGCGUCUAGCCGCGUGAAAUAGAGCAAUAACAGGUCUGUGAUGCCCUUAGAUGUCCGGGGCUGCACGCGCGCUACACUGAAAGAAUCAGUAUGCGCUUUAACCUAGUCCGGAAGGAUUGGGUAACCCGAGCAAAUUCUUUCGUGCUUGGGAUAGGGAAUUGCAAUUAUUUCCCUUAAACGAGGAAUUCCCAGUAAAUGCGGGUCAUAAGCUCGCGUUGAUUACGUC